AACGGCCAUACCAUGGUGAAUAUACCGGUUCUCGUUAGAUCACCGAAGUCAAGCAUCAUUGGGCGCGGUCAGUACUUGGGUGGGUGACCACCUGGAAACACCGCGUGCCGUU
rnacentral:rRNA from 1 species